GACGAACGCUGGCGGCGUGCCUAACACAUGCAAGUCGAACGGUAACGGGCCUCCGGGCGCUGACGAGUGGCGAACGGGUGAGUAAUGCAUCGGAACGUGCCCAGUAGUGGGGGAUAGCCCAGCGGAAGCCGGAUUAAUACCGCAUACGACCUGAGGGUGAAAGGGGGGGAUCACAAGACCUCUCGCUAUUGGCGCGGCCGAUGUCAGAUUAGCUAGUUGGUGGGGUAAAGGCCUACCAAGGCAACGAUCUGUAGUUGGUCUGAGAGGACGACCAGCCACACUGGGACUGAGACACGGCCCAGACUCCUACGGGAGGCAGCAGUGGGGAAUUUUGGACAAUGGGCGCAAGCCCGAUCCAGCAAUGCCGCGUGCAGGAAGAAGGCCUUCGGGUUGUAAACUGCUUUUGUCAGGGAAGAAAUCUUCUGGGUUAAUACCUCGGGAGGAUGACGGUACCUGAAGAAUAAGCACCGGCUAACUACGUGCCAGCAGCCGCGGUAACAC
rnacentral:rRNA from 1 species